CCUUUGACGUUAGCGGCGGACGGGUGAGUAACACGUGGGUAACCUACCUAUAAGACUGGGAUAACUUCGGGAAACCGGAGCUAAUACCGGAUAAUAUUUCGAACCGCAUGGUUCGAUAGUGAAAGGUGGUUUUGCUAUCACUUAUAGAUGGACCCGCGCCGUAUUAGCUAGUUGGUAAGGUAACGGCUUACCAAGGCGACGAUACGUAGCCGACCUGAGAGGGUGAUCGGCCACACUGGAACUGAGACACGGUCCAGACUCCUACGGGAGGCAGCAGGA
rnacentral:rRNA from 1 species